rnacentral:rRNA from 1 species
UACGUAGGGGGCAAGCGUUGUCCGGAAUCAUUGGGCGUAAAGAGCGUGUAGGCGGCCAUACAGGUCCGUUGUGAAAACUGGAGGCUUAACCUCCAGACGUCGAUGGAAACCGUAUGGCUAGAGUCCGGAAGAGGAGAGUGGAAUUCCUGGUGUAGCGGUGAAAUGCGCAGAUAUCAGGAAGAACACCCGUGGCGAAGGCGGCUCUCUGGGACGGUACUGACGCUGAGACGCGAAAGCGUGGGGAGCAAACAGG